ensembl:ncRNA F08C6.13 ncRNA
GUUCGAUAGCAGCCGGCCGAAGAGUUGCAAAAGUGCGCAAAUUGAAGAGAUGCGCGAGAAAAAUAGGAUGAGAAUGAACAAAGUGCCCUUGACUGGAAUCUUCAAGGCUAAACAGUUACGCGCUUCGAUUUUUACCCCCGGGCCGCUGCUGGCCUCUACUCUUCCUGCUGGUCACUUGGAUGCCCAGCGCGCGGAAAAGCGUAGGCGGCCUCAGAAGAAAGUAAGUAAGUGAGAAGUGGCAACGGCGAGAAAAACGGAGGUCAGACGAGACCGGCUCGCAGAAACCGAAACACGGCGCAUAGAGACGGAAUACACAGAACAAAAAAACAUGAA